rnacentral:rRNA from 1 species
UGGGCAACCUGCCCCAGACACAGGGAUAACCCCGGGAAACCGGGGCUAAUACCGGAUACUCCGGUCGAACCGCAUGGCUCGAUCGGGAAAGCUCCGACGGUCUGGGAUGGGCCCGCGGCCUAUCAGCUUGUUGGUGGGGUAACGGCCUACCAAGGCGACGACGGGUAGCCGGCCUGAGAGGGCGACCGGCCACACUGGGACUGAGACACGGCCCAGACUCCUACGGGAG